UAGAGAGAGAGAGAGAGAGAGAGAGAGAGAGAGAGAUGGGUUAGAAUAUUAUUAAUAGUAUUUGUCUCUUUUUGCUAUCAAAUUUUUAACAUUUUCAUCAAUUUUUUAAUCAUUUCUAACUAUUGGAUUAAAUAUUAUAACCCAGUGGGGACCACUCAAUCCUAGAGAGACCAUUCAACUCUAAGGGACUAAUAUCAUUCUAAUCCUACAAUUUCUCAUCUAACAGUUAAAAACUUGAUAGAAAAAAGGGCCAAAUGCUAUUAAUAGUAUUCCAGUCCAACUCUAUAUAUAUAGAUAUAUGCUAUCGAUUUUUCGAUCGUUGAUGAAAGGAUGUGUGGGCUAGGAUGAUAGUGAUUCUGAGUGGUUGGUUGGUUGAAUAGUAUAAUCUAACGGGUGGAAAUGAUCAAAGGAUAGAUCUAACAGUAAAAAACUCGAUAGUACCAAGAGCUUAAUAAUAUUGAUAAUAUAGUAGCCGAAUUCUCUCGCUCUCUCUCCCUAUAUAUAUAUAUAUAUAUAUAUAUAUAUAUAUAUAUAUAUAUAUAUAUAUAUAUAUAUAGCUUGUGUGUUUUUAGAAAUACAAUAGUCACUGUACUAUUAAGUCCUUUUUUAUACUGCGACUUUUGAAUCGACAAUCUACUCCAUUAAACUCGAUCUAGAGUAUUUAAAACGGAUAGAAAAUAAAUAUCGUAAAUUUUCAAUAUUAAUUAUCUAGUAAUUAAAGAGGCGAUGAAAAACAAUAAUUUUAAUAACUUUGAUGAGCUGUUUGCAAGUUUAAGAGUGUAAAAAUACCCAAACCAUGUGAAAUUUGAAAAAUAAAUUCUUUACACUAUAUAAAAUAAAAUCAAUAAUUUUGAUUUAAAUUUUAGUAUCAUAUCAUCACUUUUUAUAAGAUUUUUAUCUCCAACUGCUGGUUUUAAACCUUUCGAUCACUAGCUAGACGAUAUCAAAAAAAUACAAAAUUUAUUUUUUACAUAAUU
rnacentral:lncRNA from 1 species